UGCCAGCCGCCGCGGUAAUACGAAGGGCCCGAGCGUUGCGCGGAAUCACUGGGCUUAAAGCGUACGCAGGCGGACGCGCAGGCGUUGUGUGAAAUCCCUCGGCUCAACCGAGGAACUGCAUGACGAACCGCGUGUCUUGAGACAAGUAGGGGCUGUCGGAACGAUAGGUGGAGUGGUGAAAUGCGUUGAUAUCUAUCGGAACGCCAAAGGAGAAAUCAGGCAGCUGGGCUUGUUCUGGACGCUGAGGUACGAAAGCGUGGGGAGCGAACGGGAUUAGAUA
rnacentral:rRNA from 1 species